GGGAAACUGGAAGAGCUCUCCCUCACACCGCAGGUCCAGCCCCCCACUCCCCCAUAAUCUAGAGGAGGAAAGCAGAGGCAGGAGAAACCCUGGCUUCCAUUCUCCUUUCCUGGGAGAAAAGAGGGAAUGAUCUCAUGUUGUAUUUAAACGGGCCCCAAGAUACCUUACCUUGCCCAGCCACUAGGGGGAAAGGUCCCUACGCCAAAGAUGCCCAAAGUGGCGAUUGCUAAAUUAUGACCUUCUGCCUCCUAUGCACAAACACACAAUGAAAUUGUUGUUGGGAGAAAGGGAUAACAGGCAAGUAGGAAUAUCCUUUCCCCUCAGAAAAUCCCCGAAGAGCUCAAUUUAUGGGGUAAGUUGGGAGGAGCGGAGAAUGUAUCCUUUACUGAUCCCUCUAUUCCUCUAAAGUAAAGGUGAGUAGGCCAGAAGAGAAUUGCUACCUUUUCCAUUCAUGGUUUAUGGGCUAGCUUCUCUAGCUUAAGACCCAUUUCCCUAGAGCAAGUGUGUGUUGGGGGGUGGGGGGUUGAGGGGAACUAGGAGUCUACUUGCUUCCAUUCCUUAAAUCCAUUUGAAGGGAAGAAAAUAAGGCAUAAAAAGGUAGUAAUGGGCAUUACAGACCUUAGAAUAGCCAAAUCUAAACAGCUAUCCAAAUCUUCCAGUGCACUGCUUCACCCCCCCCCAACCCCCCCUCCUAAUUUCCCUCAUUCUGGGGUUUGGAAAGGAAGUAGAAAGAAGAUACAAUCCAGGAGGUUCUCAUGACUGCCGAGCAGACUAGGUGAGGUGCCGGUGGGUUCAUGUGGUUUAGGGGGAUGUUGGUGCCAUCUGAGUUUAAAGAGAAAAAGGGGAUUGGGAGGUAGGGAGACCAGGAACCCAGGUCUCCAGUUCUGCGUAGAAGAGAAAGGGAAGAGCUGGGAGAGCAGGAUUCUGGGAACUGGAGAGCUUAACUGCAGAGGGGGUAAGGGUGGUCUGAAUACACAUUCCCCCUUUCUCUCCCUUCUCUUACAGCCCCAGGGUUUGGGAACAGGCAACAGGGAUCCCAAGGGGGAAAGCUAGGUUUAGGUUACCCCAGAUUCCAGGGUCUCAAAGAAGCCCUUCCGGCUAUAACAAAGACAAGAGAGAAGCAGUCAAGACAAGGCAUAUCUCAAAGAGCCUCCCCCCCCCAACUCCCCUCCCCAACAACCACCACCACCAAAACAAACAACAACAAACAGGUUCUGUUCUAAGGAAGUGCUUUGUGACUGAAUCUGAGCAAGAGGCAUCCAGAAGGGGGGGGGGGGGGAGCAGGAACAGGGUUUCUCUGGGGAAGCCAAGCCAGCUAUUAGAAGAGGGAAGGGAGCCCCACAACACUGGAGAUUAGAUUGAAGGAAGGGGGUGAUGAUGAUUCUUUUCUACUUUGGGGUGGGAGCUCCUAAAUAGACCAGCGAGGCCAGACACAUAGAAGGGCCAACCUGAAUUUCUUCUAAGGAGGGGAGGGGGAGAGAUACGUUAAAGCACACUCAUACCCUCACUCUACAACCCUCAUUUUAGGGGAUUGGUCAUAUCCUCCCCUACUGAAGCAUUCAUUGAAAGAAAUCAUUGGGGGAAGGCAAUUGCUAUUUGCAUAAUUGGGGGGGGGCUCUGAUUAGCUCGAUUCUUCCCUCUCUACAGAGCAGUUCCCGAAACUGUCUACCCCCGCGCCACCCCCCCCCCAUCAUACACACACCCGCCUGCUGGAGAUCCAAUGCAAACUCCUCACAUUUAAGCAUUCCCCACACCCUGAAAUAAGGAAAAGAGGGGCGGGUAACUUCGGGGAGCUCAGAUUUGAUCUCCAAAUCCGCUCAGUUCCCGCCAGGGGCUCAGCUCUAGCUUUGGGGGCACAACCGCCCCCCUCCCCACCCCGCACAUCUUGUUCUCAUUCUCAGCCCCUGACAUCAGCCGCCGCCGGAAUCUCCUUGUUGUGCCUCCAGCCCGCUGCGGGGGAGUAAGGGGUGGGGGAUAGGUGGGGGGGCUUAGAAACAUCCCCUCCCCAAUUACAGCUCCUGUUUGGUCAGGAAAACCUCAGCGCCAGGGUCGAAGUGGGGAGGGCGGACCCCAGAUCCUGUAGCAAACUUUGAAGUGGGGGAGAUGGCAAGAAAGGAACCGCAGAUUACAGCUCCCCCUCCCCCAUUUACUGCUUCUCUGCUUGCCCCCCCCCUCCAAUUUAGGAAAGCAAAUCCAGCCCCUAUCGGCCAGGGAAAUCAAUAGCUUCUGCAUCUCCUCACAUCUGGAGGGCAACGAUCCUCCUCUCCCCUCCCCACAUCUGGAGAGCAUCCAGCUGCGGAAUGGUCGGCGCACGUUCCUCCCUCCCCCUCCCCCUCCUCAAGUCUCCCCUUUUCUAGCAGUACAGCUCCGAUUUUCACCCCACUAGAAGGGUUGAGAUGGUGAUGGCUGUCUCUCCUUUGGAGUCCUGGCCUUACCUGGCUCUCCCCUCCCCCCUUACUCUAACAGCACCCCCCCCUAAUCAGUUCCCUCUUCCCUCCAGUCUCACCUGUCUUCCCUUCACCUGUGAUUCAUUCCCCCCCAGCUGUUCCCCUCCAUGCUUACUUACCUGUCCCCCACCAACCCACCCAUUUCCCCACUGCGGUCCCCCGAAGGAUAUGGGUUACAGACCAGACGGAGGCACCAGCUCCUGGGGCGACUCUCCUGGCUCAGGUAGAAGAAAACCACCGGGGCGAGCGCAGGAUAGGGCAGUCCCUCCGGCUCCGAGUCGGUACUGCCUGGGUCUUUGUCCCCGGGCCCCAGCCCCGGCCCCGGCCCCGGCCCGGGUCCCGACAGGCCCCCAGCUCCCGACAGGUCGUUGAGCCGCACCAAGGUCUUGGGCUGCCCGAACUCUUCGGCAUUGGCUCCAUCUUCCUCUUCGUCCAUCCUCCCGCCAGCCUGAGUCCCAGGUCUGGAGCGGGGCAAGCGGUACCCCCUGCGGGGGGGGGGUGUCCUCACAGAACCGGAGGACCCCUGGGAGGACGCAUCCGGGAGGCUCUAGGGCGGAGGCUGUGCCCCCGGGCCGGCCAGUUCAGCCCAAUUCUCGCCGCCCCCAGGGGCAUGCUGCCCACCGGGGGCCCUGAAUCCUCGGUCGCGCUCCUGGCCCGCGGCGGGCUCCUUCGGGCCGGGUUCCCGCUUCCCCUGGGCCUUGGCUUCCCCCCCUUCUCUCCCCCCCCCCCCCUGCCGGCUCCUCCUCACUUUGUUCAGGCUUCUUUGCUUCGCGUUCAGGUGCUGGGCUCCCGACUCCGCGACCACCUCACUGCAGCAGUAGGGAAUGUGGAAGAGCCAGGGAAGACUGCCUAUGGGCUGGGGGCCACGGUAGGGGGGUGCCCCGUCUUCCCUGGAGCAAAGAGGGCAGAAUCUAAACAGUCAGCAUCGCCCCGGCGGGUUGCCAGUUGUGGUGUCGGUAGGGGAAAGGGAAGAAGGACUCUCCUGGGGUUGGGGGGAUUUGGGGGGGAACAAGGAGAAGCUCCUUUCUCCUCCCCCCCACAAGCUUAGCAGUCCGGGUAGGGCGGAGAGAUAGUGGGGGGCCGUUCUGGGCAGGGCCGGGGGCGGAGAUGCGGCUGCUGCAGCUAUCGCUGCCGCUGCCGUUGCUGUCGCUGCCUUUGCAGUUGCAGUUGCAGUUGCCGGCGCCACUGCCUCCUCCUCGGACCAGAGACUGGAGCGAAAGCUUCGAGCCCAGCGCACAACACAGCUGGAUCCCUCACUCCAACUUCAAGCCCCGGGCCCCGCCCCUCCGGAGCCAGCCUCUCAGUCAAUCCAGGCGUGCCGCCGGCCUCACGCCGUCCUCUUAUUGGUUGAAAGGCGCAGGAGGCGGGGAAGGGGGUGGAUAAAGAACCACAGCUGGAAUCCGGUUCCAACCCGGACGCCUGGGACCGCCCUUUUUUCCUUCCCCCCACCCCCCAGCCCCUCUGGAAUGUGAGAAACCAAUCAUAGUGCCACAGUGGUCGAACCCCUUUUCCUAUUGGCUACUAGGGUCUCGAGGACUCCCUUGCUGGGCGCCUCUAGGAAAUUUGGGGGCUUGCCUUGGGGUCUACUGCCCCUUUGAUUUUGGACCCUUCAAGCCUUCUGUGGCUCCUUGUCCCUGGCUUCUCCGCCUCCCGUAUUGAAUUGGGCUAGGGAAAGAAAUGCAGCCUAAGAAAUGAGCCGGGGAGAUUCAGGAUUUAGAUCCAUUCGGAGGUGGGGGUGGAGAGCGGAGCUCUGUCUUCCCCAAGGGAAGGGGCGGCCCACAGGGAGGGCAAGGAGGCCCAAUACGAAAACCUGGGUCUUUUUUAAAAGUGGCAACCCCAAGACCUGGUUUCUCCGAGCUGGAGGAUGGAGAGGCAGGAUACUUAGGUGGGGCCUAGCGCAAGAGGAAGGACUUGGGGCGGGGCCUAGAUUGACCAAGACUGACCUAGGCAGUCCCAAGGCUUGAGGGCGGGGCUGAGAUUGGAGAAGGGUAUGUGGUUUGGGGGUUUCGGGGAUGGGGGUAGAGAAAGGAAAAACAGCCAGGUGAGGAUCGGUGAGGUGGGCGUUGUCUCCUCCGUCCUCCUAGGGCACGACCCCAGCCCCUAUGUAUCUGCCCAUAAACAUGACCCGGUGUCCUCUCCUCCAAUCCUAUACUCUGACCGAGGAAGAAGCUGCUUCUGAGUCCUCUGUUCUGCUACAUCCCGCCGCGCUGGCCAAAGAGGGUGACAGGGCUUGUCUUGGCGUGUGAGGGGGCCUUAUUUUAUAAAGCUGAUGCUUUUUCUGCUAGGAGUGGAGCACUAACCCUAGUCUGAAGAAUUCAGCACCCGGGAGAUAAAGAUUGAGGCCUUCUUGGUUCCCUGGGGAGUAAGAUAUGCGACUUCCGAGGCAGGGGACUGUAGGGUGUUUGCUAGUGAUGACCGUGUGUAGAGCAAGGAGAAAACUGGAGAAGCCUGGAGUCCAGGCCAGUUUCUGUAAGUAAGGUAGUAGUAUCCUUCCAACACCAGCCCCCUUUCUCCCUCUCAGGAACUGGGAAAGUCCGAAGGGUGGGAAUGAAAAGGGGGUUACGGGAGAGAGGAGCCAGAGAAGUGGGCCAAGAUUGGACAGUUCUUGGUUCUCCCCUCAAGAGAAGCCCGAGAGAAGUUGGCUCAGGGUAACAAAAUGGAGCUGAGUCUGCCCAAUCGAGAGUCCGAAUGUUGCUGACUCCAUCUCAGCCACGCUCUCAAAUGAGGUGCCCUUCUUUUUCUCCAACCUUACACCCGGCCGUGGCGACCCGUAGCGGGAAGCUGAUAUCUAGGUCCCAUCACAGGGGGAAGGGCAAGUGAAAGUCCUCUUUCUCGGCUACCUCAGUUUCUUGCCCGCUCCUCUUCUCCGGCCUCUUUACCCUGUUGCUCCCCCUACAGUCCAUUGUACUCCAGCCCCCUCCCGCAGGAAGCUGUCGGGACUACGGAGAAAAAUGCGUUACGAUUGCAGUGUGUUGGAAAUUAAGGGUUAGACACUAGGAAGCACUUCCUGAACGUCAUGGGGAGGAAAAGGCAUCGGAGAGGAGUCGGAUCAUUUCCCGAGCGGCGCCUGAGAAAAAGGCACUGUCCGGAGGCAGAGGAAUGGAGCGGUUGACCUCAGGCGUCCCCUGGGUCUCUCCUGUUUUUCCGACUGAAUGGAACAGCUCUACGGAGAAAGAUAGACAGACAUCCCCAUCCCUCACUCAGGGUCGAGUCGGGGAGAAGGUUUCAGCUCCCGCAAAGGGUGGGGUUGGGGGGGGUGGGAAGGGAGCUGAGCUGAGGGCUGGGCGAUUGCGCCGUCGGCUCCCCAGUUGCCCUUCCGCAGAAAUCGAGCUCCACAGAAGUAUGCAAACGAGGACGGACUCAUUUAAACUUAAUGCUAAUGAGCAGCUCCCCAGUCUCUCCCUCUCCCUCUCCGAGGCAGAGAGAGAGCAGCUGCUCAGCUUGCCGAGGGCCCGAGAGUCUCAAACUCAACCCAGCGCCGGGGGUGGGCGGAGGAUGUCAUCUUUUAUGGGGAUGAUUAUUUCUGAUUUAGGAGACGAGGCUGACACCUUUCCUUUUAGAGCAGCGGCGCCCGGGGGGGAGGGGAACUUCGGCCGCUAGCUUCCUCCUUCCCUCCCUCCUUUCCUUUUCUUUUCCGUCUCUUUUUGCCUCCCUCCUUUCCUCCUGCAGCGGUCGUCGCUCUCGCCUUGCGCACCGAUUCUCAGCAGCUCCCUCUGAUGAGGAAACUGAGACCUCGAAAGGCUCUGAUUUGCUCCAGGACACACAGCGAGGAGAGGCAUUCUUCAAUUCCUUAUGGAGAGUGCAGAUAGGGACCUUUAGGAGCUCCAAGUCCAAAAGAGAUCGAGUUUUAUGGGAAUUUCUAGUCACCACCCCGUUUCUUCUUCCUCCUCCUCAGAAUUGUCCUUGUUGCAGGCACAGUUCGCUGCUAAUAAAUAUCCCUAACAUAAAUCUGGAAGGAAAAA